AGAAAAACAAACAAAAGCAAAAAGAAAAUACAAAAGAGCAAAACAAAGUCUACUUCAAAUGAAACAUUAAACUGCACACACACACAAGCACAAUAAAUGAUUGUACAACAAAUGCGCUAACAACAAAAACAACAACAACAGCAUACAAAACAACAACAACAACAAUCCCAACUACAACUCCAACCAUCAUGUAACUAAGUGUGUGUAGCAUGUUUUAAUAAAACCUAUAUAGACCCUCUAAAAAUUCACCACCUGUGUGUUGUAUAUGUAGAUAAACAAUAUCAUGUGGAUCUCAGUGCUGCACCAUAUGGACUGGACCUUUCCUUUGUUAUUUGUAGGAAAGGCCUCACCAUCAGCCUUUCUAAACUGGCCUCAGGUGAGAGGCGGCGGCGGCGGCGGCGGCGGCGGCUUCCCAGCUGAACGAACAAUGCCAAAAGAAAUGUCGUUUGGUCGUCUGGUCUGGUCUCUCCACCUUGGUCUUGUCUCUUGGCCGCCAAUUUGCUGCCCAUUUAAUUGUCAUUUCAAGACGAAACAGAGAAAGAGACAGCGAGAGAGAGAGGGAGAGAGAAAUAUAAAAUGGCACACGCUAAAUGUUGAUUAAGUGCGGACGAGGGCGCGGAUUUGAACCUGAAACUUUCAUUAAUGCCCUAACUAGAAAUUAUUUGAAUUACUCAGACCUUCCAGGCAUUAAGCUUGAAUAUUUGCCAACAUCUAUGAUUUGAUUUGAGAGCGACCUGAUGUGAUUCAGGAUGUUCAAUUUGCAAUACUUAAUAUGGAGUCCUUCCAGGCACUACUAUGAGGAUUUGCCAACAUCUAUAAGCAUCGAAAAGAGAGAUAUAGAAGAUCAUAAAGGAAAGUAUCCUUAAGAGCCAAUUUAAUGCUUCCAAUCGAAUAAUUUCUGGCAUUAUCUUUCACGAUUCAUUUUGAUAUACCUAAUUUGAGACUUGAGACCCAAUUUCGACUCGAAUCGAAUAUAUAUUUGGCAUUAUCCUAAAGCAAACAAAAAGAGUUAUAAAUUUUUGGAAAUGUUUUCUAAAUAA